GACGAACGCUGGCGGCGUGCCUAAUACAUGCAAGUAGAACGCUGAAGAGAGGAGCUUCCUCUUCUUGGAUGAGUUGCGAACGGGUGAGUAACGCGUAGGUAACCUGCCUUGUAGCGGGGGAUAACUAUUGGAAACGAUAGCUAAUACCGCAUAACAAUGGAUGACACAUGUCAUUUAUUUGAAAGGGGCAAUUGCUCCACUACAAGAUGGACCUGCGUUGUAUUAGCUAGUAGGUGAGGUAAUGGCUCACCUAGGCGACGAUACAUAGCCGACCUGAGAGGGUGAUCGGCCACACUGGAACUGAGACACGGCCCAGACUCCUACGGGAGGCAGCAGUAGGGAAUCUUCGGCAAUGGGGGCAACCCUGACCGAGCAACGCCGCGUGAGUGAAGAAGGUUUUCGGAUCGUAAAGCUCUGUUGUAAGUCAAGAACGGGUGUGAGAGUGGAAAGUUCACACUGGGACGGUAGCUUACCAGAAAGGGACGGCUAACUACGG
rnacentral:rRNA from 1 species